GGUAUAGACCCGAAACCCGGUGAUCUAGCCAUGGGCAGGUUGAAGGUUGGGUAACACUAACUGGAGGACCGAACCGACUAAUGUUGAAAAAUUAGCGGAUGACCUGUGGCUGGGGGUGAAAGGCCAAUCAAACCGGGAGAUAGCUGGUUCUCCCCGAAAGCUAUUUAGGUAGCGCCUCGUGAAUUCAUCUCCGGGGGUAGAGCACUGUUUCGGCUAGGGGGCCAUCCCGGCUUACCAACCCGAUGCAAACUGCGAAUACCGGAGAAUGUUAUCACGGGAGACACACGGCGGGUGCUAACGUCCGUCGUGAAGAGGGAAACAACCCAGACCGCCAGCUAAGGUCCCAAAGUCAUGGUUAAGUGGGAAACGAUGUGGGAAGGCCCAGACAGCCAGGAUGUUGGCUUAGAAGCAGCCAUCAUUUAAAGAAAGCGUAAUAGCUCACUGGUCGAGUCGGCCUGCGCGGAAGAUGUAACGGGGCUAAACCAUGCACCGAAGCUGCGGCAGCGACACUGUGUGUUGUUGGGUAGGGGAGCGUUCUGUAAGCCUGUGAAGGUGUGUCGUGAGGCAUGCUGG
rnacentral:rRNA from 1 species